rnacentral:rRNA from 1 species
GUCGGAUGGUUGCUGGGUGGGGCGGGACUACGUAGUGGGGUUGGGUUGGCCGCGAUGCGUGGGCCUGAGGGGCGGGGUGGGGGCGCGGUAAGUCCGCUGUGAAAGUCCAGGGCUCAGCCCUGGGGUGCCGGUGGAUACUGUCGGGCUCGAGUCCGGAAGAGGCGAGUGGAAUUCCUGGUGUAGCGGUGAAAUGCGCAGAUAUCAGGAGGAACACCAAUGGCGAAGGCAGCUCGCUGGGACGUGACUGACGCUGAGACGCGAAAGCGUGGGGAGCAAACAGGAUUAGAUACCCUGGUAGUC